AUGGCACGAACAAAGGACCUGCAUGCUAUCUCUAGGGACCUGCAUGCAAGGCCCAGGGACCUUCAUGUUAAUGUGAGAGAUGUGGAUGGACCAAUUCGGCGCUCUGGAUGGAAACCACCGGAAGCUCAUGCUGCCAAAAUCAAUGCGGACGGCGGGUUCUCCAAGAUAGGAGACCGUGGUGCCUCUGCUGCUGUUUGUCGGGAUAAGAGUGGCAAUUAUUUGGGGGCGUCGGUGAUUAUCUGCGAAGGUUUGUUGGACCCAACCAUUCUGGAGGCUCGGGCGUGUAGUGAGGCACUCGCGCUAGCCUUGGAUCUUCAGCUUCAGUCUGUCUAUGUGGCUUCCGACUGCCUGGAAGUAGUUACUCGGAUUGAGGAUGAUUCUCCAUGCACCUAUUUCCCCAUCCUACAGGACAUCAAGCAUCAGAAGCGGUUUCUUAAUGACGUUAGUUUUAUUCAUGAAAGUAGAAAGCAUAAUGGGGAGGCCCAUGCUUUAGCUAAGGCAGCAGCCCCUCUGCCUCCCGGGCUCCAUGUGUGGCUAAAUUCUUUGCCCGAAAUUAUCUGUAUCCCCUUUUAUGUGAACGUUUAA
rnacentral:rRNA from 1 species